GAUGAACGCUGGCGGCGUGCCUAAUACAUGCAAGUCGAGCGAACAGACGAGGAGCUUGCUCCUCUGACGUUAGCGGCGGACGGGUGAGUAACACGUGGAUAACCUACCUAUAAGACUGGGAUAACUUCGGGAAACCGGAGCUAAUACCGGAUAAUAUAUUGAACCGCAUGGUUCAAUAGUGAAAGACGGUUUUGCUGUCACUUAUAGAUGGAUCCGCGCCGCAUUAGCUAGUUGGUAAGGUAACGGCUUACCAAGGCAACGAUGCGUAGCCGACCUGAGAGGGUGAUCGGCCGCACUGGAGCGGGGCCACGGUCCAGACUCCUACGGGAGGCAGCAGUAGGGAAUCGUCCGCAAUGGGCGAAAGCCUGACGGAGCAACGCCGCGUGAGUGAUGAAGGUCUUCGGAUCGUAAAACUCUGUUAUUAGGGAAGAACAAAUGUGUAAGUAACUAUGCACGUCUUGACGGUACCUAAUCAGAAAGCCACGGCUAACUACGUG
rnacentral:rRNA from 1 species